rnacentral:misc_RNA from 1 species
UUUCCGUAGGUGAACCUGCGGAAGGAUCAUUAUUGUAUAACCGAGGUGCGAGGGCUGUCGCUGACCCGAAAGGUCGUGCACGCCCGAGUGCCCUCACACACAUCCAUCUCACCCCUAUGUGCACCACCGCGUGGGUCCCCCUUUGGCUUGUUCGGAGGGGGGCUUACGUUUUCACACAAACUUUGUAUGCAGUGUAGAAUGUAUUUUUUGUUUUUGCGAUCACGCAAUCAAUACAACUUUCAACAACGGAUCUCUUGGCUCUCGCAUCGAUGAAGAACGAGA